UCGAAUUUUUACCCUUUUUUGGUCU
rnacentral:miRNA from 1 species